GUCACUUUGCCGGAGUGGUUAACGGGAUCGCCUGCUAUAACCUUGUCUUUACAUGGUUGGCAUUCAGCGGUUGCACUUUGUGCGCGAGUGUUCGAAUCGCUCAGGUGACG